GCGUAAUCAAGGGAAAUGGAAACACUUGAGGAACUCACUUCAUCUGAAGUACCUAGGGCUUGAUUCAGUUGGCUCAGCAUAGGCAGAUGGUUCUCUUUCAGGUAGAGUAGUGCACCCCAUGAGGUCUCAAGAUGCUGCUUCAGAAGAUUUUUGGCCAUUGGACUCAUUUUGAAAAGCAGGGGAACUCAAAACAAGGAUUGGAAGGGGCAAUUGUGGUCACACAUCCAACUGCAGACGUAACUCAUACCAGAGAAUCCCUGCUUGCGAUUACUGGAUCCUACUCAAAUGCCUGCAACCCAGACUGGAGAAAAUCUUUUAUAGUUUCUGUCUCUCUUGAUCCUUCUGAAAAACUGUGAUCUUAUCUGAUUACAGCUUCUGGCUUCAAUUGUGCUAUCACUUAAGAUCACUGGAUCUUAAGAUCAUUUGCAAACAAACUGUUUUGCAAGAUUUGCAGUGCUUUCUACUCAGGACUGAACCACAAAUCUUCCAAGAACUUUAUCCUGAUAGUUCCUCAAGUCAAUUCUCACCUGAGCAAGCCCUGUGACUGAGGCAAAAUGGUCAUCUUAGACUCUUUUAGAAAUAUCCAUAAAGUAGGGACUAGAUGGACAUGCUUUAACCAACAUAGGUUGUUCAAUGUGGUGAGCUUGACCUUAUUAAGUAACUCAUUGGCUUUCCCAACAUCAGCUCUGUGGGACUGAGGAAGAGUACUCCAUGUUCUAGAUGACACUUAUUUGAGAGACUUAAGUGAGCUUAAGAAAUAAUGUGCACAAAGUAAAAUGUUACCUCAAUGGGGUUUGGAAAUGGAUUUUCUAACUGUAGGCAGUCAUGUCCAAUCAAAAUUUUGCUUAAUUUGGUUUUAGUAUCUACCAUUCACUGUAAAUUUUAAUGCAGGUAACAAAAAUUAAAAAAAAUAUACAAAAACAAUAAAAGCUUUGGUCCUAAAAUCCUGUAUUUAGUC
rnacentral:lncRNA from 1 species